UACCUCCCAGCAAAUACUGAGCAUAUUCA
rnacentral:piRNA from 1 species